rnacentral:tRNA from 1 species
UACCUAUAGGCUCAGACGGUAAAGCGUCUGCCUGCAAUGCGGGAGACCCAGGUUUGAUCCCUGGGUAGGGAA